rnacentral:rRNA from 1 species
UACGAAGGGGGCUAGCGUUGUUCGGAAUUACUGGGCGUAAAGCGUAGGUAGGCGGAUGCAUAAGUCAGGGGUGAAAUCCCGGGGCUCAACCUCGGAACUGCCUUUGAUACUGUGUGUCUCGAGUCCGGUAGAGGUGAGUGGAAUUCCUAGUGUAGAGGUGAAAUUCGCAGAUAUUAGGAAGAACACCAGUGGCGAAGGCGGCUCACUGGACCGGUACUGACGCUGAGCUACGAAAGCGUGGGGAGCAAACAGG